AUUGAACGCUGGCGGCAGGCCUAACACAUGCAAGUCGAGCGGGGUUUUCGGACCUAGCGGCGGACGGGUGAGUAAUGCGUAGGAAGCUACCCGAUAGAGGGGGAUACCAGUUGGAAACGACUGUUAAUACCGCAUAAUGUCUACGGACCAAAGUGUGGGACCUUCGGGCCACAUGCUAUCGGAUGCGCCUACGUGGGAUUAGCUAGUUGGUGAGGUAAUGGCUCACCAAGGCGACGAUCCCUAGCUGGUUUGAGAGGAUGAUCAGCCACACUGGAGCUGAGUGACGGUCCACACUCCUACGGGAGGCAGCAGUGGGUAAUAUUGGACAAUGGGCGCAAGCCUGAUCCAGCCAUGCCGCGUGUGUGAAGAAGGCCUUCGGGUUGUAAAGCACUUUCAGUAGGGAGGAAGCGUUGUGUGUUAAUAGUACACAGCGUUGACGUUACCUACAGAAGAAGCACCGGCUAACUCUGUGCCAGCCGCCGCCGUAA
rnacentral:rRNA from 1 species